GACGAACGCUGGCGGCGUGCUUAACACAUGCAAGUCGAACGGUGAAGCUCCAGCUUUCUGGAGUGGACCAUUGGCGAACGGGGGUGUGACACGUGAGCAACCUGCACCUGUCUCUGGGAUAAGACCUGGAAACGGCGUCUAUUACUGCAUACGAGAAGGUUCCGCGUGUGCACUGUCUGGAAAGUUUGUCGGUUGGGGAUGGGCUCGCGGGCUAUCAGCUUGUUGGUGAGGUAAUGGCUCACCAAGGCGACGACGGGUAGCCGGCCUGAGAGGGCGACCGGCCACACUGGGACUGAGGCACGGCACAGACUGCUACGGGAGGCAGCAGUGGGGAAGACUGCACAAUGGGCGACAGCCUGAUGCAGAGACGCCGCGUGACGGAUGACUGCCUUCGGGUUGUAAAACUCUUUCAGCAGGGAAGAAGCGCAAGUGACGGUACCUGCAGAAGAAGCCCCGGCUAACUACGUG
rnacentral:rRNA from 1 species